ensembl:lncRNA
CUGACAUAUACAGAAUACUUAAUUAGAAGAUACUGAGUGAGCGAGAAUGGAGAGAUCACUGAGUGGCACCCUUGUGUACGUGCUCUUCAACAGUGAAUAGACGCUUCCAGCCCUUCCUGUUGAAGAUUUCUGCGGUAUACCUGUGAAAGAGCUGAAACCUAAUUGUCCUGAAAGACACUGCAUUACUGGGAAGGAAACCCUAUCUCCAGGCACUACAUAUGCAACUCAAAUGUGGUGAGUGAGAGGAGUCUGUGGCACCCACACCCCAUAACAACGGUGUUUUGCACACAUCUGCAGUACAGACUCUCUGAGCCAGGACUGCGUGAAGAACUGGAGGGCAAGGGAAAAAUCUGGGACAGCACCUGAAAGCCAGCUGAAAAAAAAAAGGAAGAUAUCUGCAACAUUGCUGAUGGAGUUGUUGAGCUAAAAAACUAUCAAUGAUAUCAACUAGUUUAGUUUUAGGCAGAGUUCGUGGUCUUUGAUGAUAGUCU